rnacentral:rRNA from 1 species
CAUUAACGAAUUACGAACGUCUUCGGUUGAGCUGGCCUUCACCGGCAUGUGCCCACCGUCGUGCGCUUUUUCCAAAUUCAACACCUGUGCACCUUUGUGAAGGGGAUCUUCUUUGCGCUCUUGUUCGGGACCUGCAAAGGUUUCGGGCAAGGGCAAGGAGGAGGACCCUUUUACGUAUUUCAUACCCCAACCAAUACAGACCACAGAAUGUAACAAAGUCGACCUGUGGGCGUAGGCGUAAACAACCUCGUCCCUGGACGCAAAACAAAACUAUAUACAACUUUCAACAACGGAUCUCUUGGCUCUCGCAUCGAUGAAGAACGCAGCGAAAUGCGAUAAGUAAUGUGAAUUGCAGAAUUCAGUGAAUCAUCGAAUCUUUGAACGCACCUUGCGCUCCUUGGUAUUCCGAGGAGCAUGCCUGUUUGAGUGUCAUUAAAUUCUCAACCUCAAAGCCUUGUUGUAACGACUCGGCCUUUGGGGCUUGGACUUGGAGCGUGCGGGUACCCUCGGGUAUCGGCUCCUCUUGAAAUGCAUUAGCUGGUAACCUCUCCGCAGACCCGCCAUCGGUGUGAUAAUUAUCUACGUCGUUGUUGUGGUCUGCGCUUCGUAAUGGGGUACUGCUUCCAACCGUCUUCGGACAACCGUCUCCUUCAUCGGAGAUUGACCAUUUGACCUCAAAUCAGGUAGGACUACCC